rnacentral:rRNA from 1 species
AAUGAACGCUGGCGGCAUGCCUUACACAUGCAAGUCGAACGGCCGCAUGACCUACCUUGCUCGGUUGCUGGCGAGUGGCGCACGGGUGAGUCAUGCAUCGGAACGUGCCUUUUAGUGGGGGAUACCGUAGCGAAAGUUACGCUAAUCCCGCAUAUUCUCUGAGGAGGAAAGCAGGGGACCUUCGGGCCUUGCGCUAGAAGAGCGGCCGAUGUCGGAUUAGCUAGUUGGUGAGGUAAAGGCUCACCAAGGCAACGAUCCGUAGCGGGUCUGAGAGGAUGAUCCGCCACACUGGGACUGAGACACGGCCCAGACUCCUACGGGAGGCAGCAGUGGGGAAUUUUGGACAAUGGGCGCAAGCCUGAUCCAGCCAUGCCGCGUGAGUGAAGAAGGCCUUCGGGUUGUAAAGCUCUUUCGGCUGGGAAGAAAUCGCACCCUCUAAUACAGGGUGUGGAUGACGGUACCAGCAUAAGAAGCACCGGCUAACUACGUG